rfam:Ricinus communis cultivar Hale ctg_1100012361707, whole genome shotgun sequence.
AUUCCAUGUUGAGGGUAAUUCGUGCACAAUUUUUUGAACCGUUCCCAAUAUUCAUGGAGAGUCUCCACAUCUUUUUGCUUGAUUCCACAUAUUUCCCUCAUACUUGUGACU